ACGAACGCUGGCGGCGUGCUUAACACCUGCCAGUCGAACGGUGAAGCGCCUUCCUUUUUGGUGGGUGUGGAUGAGUGGCGAACGGGUGAGUAACACGUGAGUAACCUGCCCCCUUCUUCUGGAUAACCGCAUGAAAGUGUGGCUAAUACGGGAUAUUCUGGGUCUGUCGCAUGAUGGGUCUGGGAAAGAUAUUGUUUCGGUGGGGGAUGGGCUCGCGGCCUAUCAGCUUGUUGGUGGGGUGAUGGCCUACCAAGGCGGUGACGGGUAGCCGGCCUGAGAGGGUGGACGGUCACACUGGGACUGAGACACGGCCCAGACUCCUACGGGAGGCAGCAGUGGGGAAUAUUGCACAAUGGGCGCAAGCCUGAUGCAGCGACGCCGCGUGAGGGAUGGAGGCCUUCGGGUUGUGAACCUCUUUCGCCAGUGAAGCAGGCCUGCCUCGUUUGUGGGUGGGUUGACGGUAGCUGGAUAAGAAGCGCCGGCUAACUACGUG
rnacentral:rRNA from 1 species